GACGAACGCUGGCGGCGUGCUUAACACAUGCAAGUCGAACGGAAAGGCCCUGCUUUUGUGGGGUGCUCGAGUGGCGAACGGGUGAGUAACACGUGAGUAACCUGCCCUUGACUUUGGGAUAACUUCAGGAAACUGGGGCUAAUACCGGAUAGGAGCUCCUGCUGCAUGGUGGGGGUUGGAAAGUUUCGGCGGUUGGGGAUGGACUCGCGGCUUAUCAGCUUGUUGGUGGGGUAGUGGCUUACCAAGGCUUUGACGGGUAGCCGGCCUGAGAGGGUGACCGGCCACAUGGGGACUGAGAGACGGCCCAGACUCCUACGGGAGGCAGCAGUGGAGAAUAUUGCACAGUGGGCGGAAGCCUGAUGCAGCAACGCCGCGUGCGGGAUGACGGCCUUCGGGUUGUAAACCGCUUUCGCCUGUGACGAAGCGUGAGUGACGGUAAUGGGUAAAGAAGCACCGGCUAACUACGUG
rnacentral:rRNA from 1 species